AUUGAACGCUAGCGGGAUGCCUUACACAUGCAAGUCGAACGGCAGCGCGGACUUCGGUCUGGCGGCGAGUGGCGAACGGGUGAGUAAUGUAUCGGAACGUGCCCAGUACGGGGGACAACCACUCGAAAGAGUGGCUAAUACCGCAUACGCCCUACGGGGAAAGGGGGGGAUCGCAAGACCUCUCACUAUUGGAGCGGCCGAUAUCGGAUUAGCUAGUUGGUGGGGUAAAGGCCUACCAAGGCGACGAUCCGUAGCUGGUUUGAGAGGACGACCAGCCACACUGGGACUGAGACACGGCCCAGACUCCUACGGGAGGCAGCAGUGGGGAAUUUUGGACAAUGGGGGAAACCCUGAUCCAGCCAUUCCGCGUGUGCGAUGAAGGCCUUCGGGUUGUAAAGCACUUUUGGCAGGAAAGAAAUCGUGUGGGUUAAUACCCUGCGCGGAUGACGGUACCUGCAGAAUAAGCACCGGCUAACUACGUGCCAGCAGCCGCAGUAAAACGUAGCGUG
rnacentral:rRNA from 1 species